rnacentral:rRNA from 1 species
CCAGACUCCUACGGGAGGCAGCAGUGGGGAAUAUUGCACAAUGGGGGAAACCCUGAUGCAGCAACGCCGCGUGAGUGAAGAAGUAUUUCGGUAUGUAAAGCUCUAUCAGCAGGGAAGAAGAUGACGGUACCUGAUUAAGAAGCCCCGGCUAACUACGUGCCAGCAGCCGCGGUAAUACGUAGGGGGCAAGCGUUAUCCGGAUUUACUGGGUGUAAAGGGAGCGCAGACGGCAGUGCAAGUCUGGAGUGAAAGCCCGGGGCCCAACCCCGGAACUGCUCUGGAAACUGUGCAGCUGGAGUGCAGGAGAGGUAAGCGGAAUUCCUAGUGUAGCGGUGAAAUGCGUAGAUAUUAGGAGGAGCACCAGUGGCGAAGGCGGCUUACUGGACUGUAACUGACGUUGAGGCUCGAAAGCGUGGGGAGCAAACAGGAUUAGAUACCCUGGUACAA